rnacentral:rRNA from 1 species
UACGUAGGGUGCAGGCGUUAAUCGGAAUUACUGGGCGUAAAGCGUGCGCAGGCGGCCGAGCAAGUCGAGUGUGAAAGCCCCGAGCUUAACUUGGGAACUGCGCUCGAAACUACUUGGCUAGAGUGUGGCAGAGGGAGGUGGAAUUCCACGUGUAGCGGUGAAAUGCGUAGAGAUGUGGAGGAACACCGAUGGCGAAGGCAGCCUCCUGGGCCAACACUGACGCUCAUGCACGAAAGCGUGGGGAGCAAACAGG